rnacentral:tRNA from 1 species
GCUUUUGUAGCUUAUUAAAGCGCGGCACUGAAGAUGCCGAGAUAGAUAUAAUAAUCUCGUAAGCA